rnacentral:rRNA from 1 species
UACGUAGGGUGCAAGCGUUAAUCGGAAUUACUGGGCGUAAAGCGUGCGAAGGCGGUGAUGUAAGACAGAUGUGAAAUCCCCGGGCUCAACCUGGGAACUGCAUUUGUGACUGCAUCGCUGGAGUGCGGCAGAGGGGGAUGGAAUUCCGCGUGUAGCAGUGAAAUGCGUAGAUAUGCGGAGGAACACCGAUGGCGAAGGCAAUCCCCUGGGCCUGCACUGACGCUCAUGCACGAAAGCGUGGGGAGCAAACAGG